rnacentral:rRNA from 1 species
AUUGAACGCUAGCGGGAUGCUUUACACAUGCAAGUCGAACGAGUGGCGGACGGGUGAGUAAUAUAUGGGAACGUGCCAAGUAGAGGGGGAUAACUACUGGAAAGAGGGAUAAUACCGCAUACUAUUAGAUGGGCCGAUAUGGGAUUAGCUAGUCGGUGGGGUAAAGGCUCACCAAGGAAACGAUCCGUAGCUGGUCUGAGAGGACGACCAGCCACACUGGAAAUGAGACACGGCCCAGACUCCUACGGGAGGCAGCAGUGGGGAAUUUUGUACAAUGGGGGAAACCCUGAUCCAGCCAUCCCGCGUGUAUGAAGAAGGCCUUCGGGUUGUAAAGUACUUUUGGCAGAGAAGCGUUAUCUGCAGAAUAAGCACCGGCUAACUCCGUGCCAGCAGCCGCGGUAAUUC